rnacentral:lncRNA from 1 species
UCUUGAACCAAAACCUUAAGGUAUUAGUUCCAUGGGCUUUUCCUUCUUAUAAACCCUUUCACUCCUCCCUACAUAUCCAAUGUGGGACUUCACACUUGAAUAAACCCAACAAUACUUUUAUGGAUGUGGAUGUACAUCCUUUAACAAUGGAUUUAUAAUUUUAUGGAUGGUGAUAUAUAUCCUUUAACAAUGGAUUUAUAUAUAUUAUGGAUGUUGAACAAGGG